rnacentral:rRNA from 1 species
UACGUAGGGGGCAAGCGUUGUCCGGAUUUAUUGGGCGUAAAGAGCGUGUAGGCGGCCAGACAGGUCAGCUGUGAAAACUCGAGGCUCAACCUCGAGACGUCGGUUGAAACCGUCUGGCUAGAGUCCGGAAGAGGAGAGUGGAAUUCCUGGUGGUAGCGGUGAAAUGCGUAGAUAUCAGGAGGAACACCGGUGGUGUAGACGGCUCUCUGGACCGUAACUGACGCUGAGACACGAAAGCGUGGGUAGCAAACAGG